GUCCGGUCACGUGUCGCGACUCAGCCAAUGAGCACGCGGCUCGGUGUAGUCCGCCCAGUCUGGCAGCUAGAGCUUUGUAGCUCUCCGCAGCUGCCGGCUCGCAGUCUGCGCCCAUCGGCAGCGCCAGAGGGGGUGGUUCCGGUCCCGCAGCUGCAGCUCACAAGGUCAGGAGAGGACAGAACCGCGCCCGCCGCCCUGACUGCCGCUUUUACCGAAGACUGGGCCAUGGAGCAAGUAGUGCAGCGGCUUCGAACCGCGUUCCAGUCUGGCCGGUCACGCCCGCUGCGGUUCCGGCUGCAGCAGCUCGAGGCCCUGAAGAGGAUGAUGCAGGAGCACGAGAAGGACCUCCUGGCCGCCAUCGGCGCCGACCUGUGCAAGAGUGAACUCAACGCCUAUAGCCAUGAAGCCAUCACUGUUCUUGGGGAAAUCGACACUGUGCUGGAGAAGCUUCCUGAGUGGGUGACUUCUGAACCAGCUAAGAAGAACCUGCUCACGAUGAUGGAUGAGGCCUAUGUCUACCCAGAGCCACUGGGUGUUGUGCUGAUUAUUGGAGCUUGGAACUACCCGCUGGUCCUUACCAUCCAGCCACUGAUUGGAGCCAUUGCUGCAGGAAAUGCUGUGAUUAUUAAGCCUUCCGAACUAAGUGAAAACACAGCUAGGAUCCUGGCUGAGCUCCUCCCUCAGUAUUUAGAUCAGGAGCUGUAUGCUGUAAUUAAUGGUGGCGUGCAGGAGACCACCGAGCUUCUGAAGCAGCGCUUUGACCAUAUUCUCUACACGGGUAGCACCAACGUUGGGAAAAUCAUCAUGCAGGCUGCAGCCAAGUACCUGACGCCAGUGACACUUGAGCUGGGGGGAAAAAGCCCAUGUUAUGUUGACAGAGACUGUGACCUGGAUGUCGCUUGCAGGCGCAUAGCUUGGGGCAAGUACAUGAACUGUGGUCAGACCUGCAUUGCUCCUGACUAUGUUCUCUGUGAGCCUUCCCUUCAGGAUCAGAUUGUGCAGAAGAUCAAGGAAGCAGUGAAGGAAUUUUAUGGUGAGAAUGUAAAGGAGUCUCCUGACUAUGAGAGGAUCAUCAAUCCUCGUCACUUUAAGAGGAUACUGAGUUUGCUUGAAGGGCAGAAGAUCGCCUUUGGUGGGGAGACCGAUGAGGCCACACGCUACGUGGCCCCAACAAUACUUAGUGACGUGGACCCUGAAACCAAGGUGAUGCAAGAAGAAAUUUUUGGGCCCAUUCUUCCCAUAGUGCCUGUAAAGAAUGCAGAUGAAGCCAUACAAUUCAUCAAUAAACGUGAAAAGCCCCUCGCCCUCUAUGUGUUUUCUCAUAACAGUCAGCUCAUCAAGCGGAUGAUCAAUGAAACGUCCAGUGGUGGCGUGACGGCCAAUGAUGUCAUCAUGCACUUCACACUAACUUCCCUGCCCUUUGGAGGAGUGGGCUCCAGUGGGAUGGGAGCGUACCAUGGGAAACACAGCUUCGACACAUUUUCUCACCGGCGGCCCUGUUUAGUCAAGAGUCUCAAGAGAGAAAGUGCUAACAAGCUCAGAUACCCUCCUAACACUCAGUCAAAGGUGGAAUGGGCUAAGUUUUUCAUCCUGAAACGCUUCAACAAGGGCAAAAUUGGCCUCCUGGUGCUCGCCUUCCUGGGUGUCAUGGCAGCUGUGCUGAUCAAGAAGUUUCCAAGGUGUGCUAAGGAGAAAGGCUGUGGUGCUCUUUCGGGCAGUUCAGACUAUGUCUUCCAGUAAACAGUGAUGAACAUCAGCCCUCAAGACCCUGCUCUGUCUGUCCAGAGUCAGGCUGCUUACAACUGAAGAAUCAUCCUGUUCAAUCUUCUACUUGCUUGAAUUCUGCCUCUAUUAAAUGGUGAAUGAACCAACAAUUUUAAAAUGCUACCCAAAUAACAAGGAAACCUGAAAAAUGCAUCAUGAUCAAACAGAAAAGUCAUUACCAAUCACUUUUACUAAAAUUCGCCACCACCACCCACUCUUAACAUUCCUCUGUAGUGAGGAUACUCAGACCAGCUGUCUUCCACAGAUCUUAGAGCUUUAGGCUGGGUGAGGAAACUUCCCAAGGCUAAACCUCAACCCUUGGGGCUAUAAAGGAGUCUUAGAACCACUUGAGGAUUAAUUCAGUUCAUAGAUCAGGGGACAUCCCAUCCCUGUUGUUUGCACCAUCACUGUCUGAGGCUUUAAAGGCUCAGCACUGCCCAGGCUGUUUGGUAGUACAAAGUGAAGUUUAGUCUCACAAGCCCUCCUUGAUGUUUGAGCGACUGGGGCAGUGUGUAGGUUCAUCCUGUCCUCACCCAUUGGAACUUGAGGAUCUGACCUCCAGAAGUUGAUGCAUCUCAUGGCCAUCAGUCUUUCUCCUUCCUUACCCAUGCCCAUCUUGACUUGUGUUUAGUUGGUGACAGUCUCUGUGACUCUCCACAGUGAUCUUUGUGACUAGUGUUGCUCAGAGUAUCCUAUAAAUCCAAGGGCUUCCUAGAAGACAUUUGCCAAUUUCAUCUAUCACCUAUCAUUUUUACAGCAUAGGAAUUACAGAAUCUUCAAUCGUAUGAAACUUAACUUGCUUUUAUCAAGUGCUAUAAUAUCUGUACUUAUAAUAAUACUGAUGCUGUUUCAGGGGCAUAAAGAUGUGAGUUGGUGGACUGACAAGGGCAAAUCUUUAGGUUUAUUACUUUUGUAGCACAAGGCAAGGAAACUGCACUUGCUUAAAACCUCAGGUAGCUCCCCUUGUAGUUAAAUUAAGCCUACAGAACCAAACAGGGAGAGAACUUUUCCUGUCAUGGACAAGAAACUUUGACUAUGGAGGGCAUUGGAGGUGGAGAGCCUCAUAUGAGGGGCUGACAAUGGAUCUGCUGGAGAAAUUUGGAGAACUGCAUGGGCUACAGCAGCUGGCACAGUGAAGGGGAUAGAGGAUAUGGGAAGAGGACCUCCUGAGGUGUGUGGCCAAGAUACUUCAGUCCCAUGGGAAAAUUUCCUGCCAAGCCCACUGGGUCAGAGGAUAUAAUCACCUUAUAGGAUGUGUAGUCUGCUGCGCUCAAUUAAUUUGUUUCAUUGAUGUUGUCCAAAGUCUGUCAUGUCCUUUUCACAGUACAAGAUGUCAAUAAUUAAUCAGGAGCCAGUGAAAUAGCUCACCUGGAGAGUGUGCUGCUUUGCUGUAUAUAUGACCCAGAUUUGAACACAGCCCCCAGCACAUUGAAGGAAGUUCGGUGCUGUGGUCACUUUUUCUUUUUCUCUCUCUCAUCAAAAAAACUAAAACAAAAAUAAAGUAAAUAUAUUUUUAAAAGAACUGAUCAUUAUACUAGAAAAUGGCUGAUUAAGCUAUGAUUCCUUCUGAACAGUGUGAAAUAUUUUAGAAGUUUUAAUAUAGAAUCCUUAUUUAGUAUAAUGUAUAUUGUAACUUCUGGCUAAGAUAAAUUGUCUGCUUGCCUACCAGUAUAUCUGCUUCAAAAUAAAUAUAUUUGAUAAAAUUUGGCAUACAUCCUAAUGAGAUUAUUAGUCUCAGAAGCACCCUGUUGGAAAC